rnacentral:rRNA from 1 species
CAUAUCUUGUCUCAAAGAUUAAGCCAUGCAUGUCUAAGUAUAAGCACUUUAUACUGUGAAACUGCGAAUGGCUCAUUAAAUCAGUUAUCGUUUAUUUGAUAGUACCUUACUACAUGGAUACCUGUGGUAAUUCUAGAGCUAAUACAUGCUAAAAACCCCGACUUCGGAAGGGGUGUAUUUAUUAGAUAAAAAACCAAUGCCCUUCGGGCUCCUUGGUGAUUCAUAAUAACUUAACGAAUCGCAUGGCCUUGCGCCGGCGAUGGUUCAUUCAAAUUUCUGCCCUAUCAACUUUCGAUGGUAGGAUAGUGGCCUACCAUGGUGGCAACGGGUAACGGGGAAUUAGGGUUCGAUUCCGGAGAGGGAGCCUGAGAAACGGCUACCACAUCCAAGGAAGGCAGCAGGCGCGCAAAUUACCCAAUCCCGACACGGGGAGGUAGUGACAAUAAAUACUGAUACGGGGCUCUUUCGGGUCUCGUAAUUGGAAUGAGUACAAUCUAAAUCCCUUAACGAGGAACAAUUGGAGGGCAAGUCUGGUGCCAGCAGCCGCGGUAAUUCCAGCUCCAAUAGCGUAUAUUAAAGUUGUUGCAGUUAAAAAGCUCGUAGUUGAACCUUGGGUCUGGCUGGCGGUCCGCCUCACCGCGAGUACUGGUCCGGCUGGACCUUUCCUUCUGGGGAAUCCCAUGGCCUUCACUGGCUGUGGGGGGGACCAGGACUUUUACUGUGAAAAAAUUAGAGGGUCAAAGCAGGCCUUUCUCGCAUACAUUAGCAUGGGAUAAUAGAAUAGGAGGGCGGGCCUAUUUUUUUGGUUUCUAGGACCGCCGCAAUGAUUAUAAG